UACGUAGGGGGCAAGCGUUGUCCGGAAUUAUUGGGCGUAAAGCGCGCGCAGGCGGCUGUUUAAGUCUUGUGUUUAAGACCGGAGCUCAACUCCGGUACGCACAGGAAACUGGACGGCUUGAGUGCAGAAGAGGAGAGUGGAAUUCCACGUGUAGCGGUGAAAUGCGUAGAGAUGUGGAGGAACACCAGUGGCGAAGGCGGCUCUCUGGCCUGUAACUGACGCUGAGGCGCGAAAGCGUGGGGAGCAAACAGG
rnacentral:misc_RNA from 1 species